UUCCUCCACUAAUUAUGAGUCAUACGGUAAUACAGAAAAAUCUCUAUAUCAUACAAAUUUUCUAUUUUUAAACCUUUUUUUAAUACUAAAAGAUCUAAAUUAAUAAAUUAAAUAAUUUUAUAUAAAUGGAAAUGAUAACGAAAUUAAAAAGAAUGUUACUAUCGCAAGACACUGACAUACAGGAAAAAUGUAUACGGUUUAUAAUUCAUGUAUUAAGAGAUUCGACGCAAUUUGAUUAUAUAAGUACCAUGUUUUUAGAUGACGACCUCAUUCAAUUUUUAUGUGAACCUCUUCUUUCGAUAAAAACUCCACUACUGCAAAACCUUUGUUUAUGUUUAUGGAUGUUAUCAAAAAAUGAAAAGUUUUAUGAACGAAAUGAUUUAUUAUAUACUUGUGAAAACUUAAUGAGAACAUUAAUAUUUUUAAUAAAAACAAGUAAUCCUGUUGUAACUGAUUUAAUUCAACUUUUAGCAAUAUUGAUAAAAAAAGGAGGACCAAAAUUAAGGGAAAACUGUAACAUGACGCAAGUUUUCACUAUAAUUAAAUUGAUUUUUGUCAACUCGGGAAAAUUAUCUGAUCGUUGUACUACAAACGCUGUUUUUAUAUUAAAUACAAUUCUUUCUUGUCCUUCAGUAGAACUUAAUGACAAACUUUAUACAACUGCGAUUUCUGUAUCAAAGGCGAUAUGCAAAAUUUUUAAAGAAAAAGAUGUAAUUGAUCCGUAUAUUGUUGGAAUAGCAUCAGAUAUCUCAAGUAGCAUUUUAAGGUUUUAUUCGACUAUAAUUAAAAGAAUUGAAAUCAACUCAAAUUUAUCUCAACACCGUGAUAUUGUAGAACCUUUAAAAAAUGUAGCACUGUACUUAAUCGAAAAAAUUAGUUUGCCCUUUAUACAAAAUAAUAUUAACUCAAAUAUUUAUUGCAAAACCUAUCUCAAGGGAUUAAAAUGUUUAUUAAGUCCAUUCAAUGAGAGUAUAUUGCCUCAUGUACUUUACAAUGUUGCUAAUGAAUACGCUACUCGUGGAAUGAUUAGUGUAUUGUAUGGUUUACUUGAAUACAGUGAUUUACAUAAAGUUGCCGAAAAGUUGUUAUUCAAUGUCUUGUAUCAUCUAUCAAUCGUUAACCUUGAAGUUGAAUGUUAUUGGCCUGGUGGCUUAAAAUUAUUUUAUACAAAUUUAAAAACAGGAAUCAAAAAUAUUCCUAAAACAUCAAAAGAAAUUUGUAUGUCACUUGUUAUUAAUCAGAAUUCUGAUAUCAAUCAAAUAAUUACAAUCUAUUUAUAUUUUUACUUUUUAACUUGUUCUAACGUUGAAUGUGAAUCUAUUUAUUUAGAGCCAUUGUGCGUCUAUUUGUGUUCAAUUAAUAAUUAUACUUCAAUUCCUCAUCUUAAGUCCCUUCUUUUCAACGUAUCUAUAUCAUUUGUAUCUCAUCAUGCUGUAAAUACUGUAUCGGGUUUAUCAUCUGCUACGAAAAAAAUGAUAGAACUUUUAAAUUCAUUGGAAAAUAUUGAUACAGUUUUUACAUUUCAUCCGGCGAUAUUAUACUUUUUAUUUGCUUCAAAUAUAUUUACAACCGACAUACAAUUACGUCUUAUGAGAUUAUGGGUAAAGAAUUUGGAUGAUACUAGUCAAAUCGAAUUACAAAAAUUAUGCUUAAAUAACGAUAAUUCAAAAAUGUGUUUACUGGAUGUUUUAAUUAAUGAAAAAGAAUUGGAAGUCGUUAAUAUUGAAAAUGGAUUUAAUAUUAUCAACUUCAUAAUACUUGAAGAAAGACAAUAUAACAAAGAAGAUACUAUACUUAUUGUGUGGGAUAUAUUGCCAAAUUGUUUAGGAUCAUUUUGCUGUGCCGAAGAAUCUUUAAAAAUAGGACCGAAUAACCUAUUGUGUUUGUUGAAUUUGGCUAAAGAAUUUAUUCCACAUGAAAAAAAUAACUUGACGUUUAAUGCUCAGCGUAAUACAACUUUUACAAUUUUGUCCGUUAUAAAUUGCUUUAAAAAUAAUAAAGCAGAACAUAACAAAUUAACGUCAUUGUGUUUACAGCACCUUAUUGACCUAAUUACAUUAUCUCCUACUGACGUACUUAACAUAGUUAAAAAUCACGACGAAUUUUUAUCUAUUUUAAUUAAUAUGUGUUUAACCGAAAAUAACGAACAUUGUUAUUUGUCUCUUGAGAUUCUUAUCAAGUUGCAUCAAAGUAACGAACCGCCAAAAUUAUCGUCGUUGCCUCAUUCAGUAACAUUAAAAUACAAUCAUAUAUUAACUGCUAUGGAUAAGUUAUGCUACAAUUGCAUCAUCUCAUCAAUUACAUUAUUCGAAUUGAUCAUUAAAAAAAAUGAUGAAAAUUAUAAUGGUUUUAUAAAUUUAGAAGACAUACAAAAUACUGACUGUUUAAAAGCUAUAUUUUUUAAAUUAGAAACAAUUGUGAUAUCAAUAGAAUUAGAUUGGGUCAAAAAUCACGCAUGGAAAUGUAUGAAAACUAUUUUAUCAUCUAUUAAACUAAAAAAAUAUGAGCUACAGGAAAUUCAAUGUGAUCUAGCUUUCGACCCAUGGCUUUAUUAUUCAUUAAGACAUUUGAAUUGUUAUAGUGAAGUUUGUUUAGAAUUCCUACAAUUUUGGUUCAGUAAUUUUGUGUUGAAUAAAGAACGGGAAAAACACAUAAUUCACGGAAAAUUCAUUUUAUGCACAAGUAUUUUUGAUAAGACUAUCGUAGAAAUUUCUUCUAAACUAAUUAAUCAAACUUAUGAAAAUAAGGAUAUUUUGAAUAAAGCUAUAGGAAUAAUACAUUUAAUAAUAGCAACUGUGAUCUACAUGAAUAAGUAAAUAAAAAGAACUAUUUAAGCUCGUUCAAAAAUUGAAAGUCGCUUUUCUCAAAUUUGAGGAGGUAAAAUAAUCAAAUCUGAUACAAGAGCCUAGGAUAAUUUAUUUAUUGUUGAAGUUUCAAUUAACUAUUCUUAUGAAUCAUUCAAGUAAUGUUGGC